CAUGGGCCCAGCUGUUUGUGCUUCUCACCAUGCUGAUUACGGGGCACCCAGGCAUGGGCCCCAUGUGCCUGAUGCUGGCAUACUGAGUCACAGUGAUCUCACUGUAGGGCUUGUGCUUCAGGAGAGGCACAGUGAGGGGCAAUGAAAACAGACAAAAAAGACCAGGAGGUUGAGUUACGGCACUUUGGGCACUGCUGAUCCUCGCAUCCCUGGUCCCCUAUCCCCUGUUCCCUCCCUUGUAAAGUCCUGAGAGGCCCCAAAAUGGCCCAAAGAGAAUCCCCACACUGGAAAACCUGCCUCCAAAAUGGAGGGGACACAGGAGGCAUCAAAAUAGCAGAGAAUUUGUCUGGGUUUGAACUGCCAGUGUGGCAGGACAAAGCCUCAACCUCUGGCUGCUGUAAGAGGCUCAUUCCCAGGAAGAAAAAUGACCUCCAGCUGCAGUAGGUGCAUGUGACACCUCCCUGGCUGGACUGUGAGCUCCUUGAAGCUUUGUUACCUGUGGUGGGGAAGAGUGAGAGAGAAUUCCGUCCAAUGUCAUGAUCCCAACGAGGAAGCAGUACAGAGGUCUGUACAGCCAGCCCACUUGCUUCUCUCUUGGGCACCCCCCUAUUUAUGAUCCACCAACCUAAGCUUCACUGCUGGGAAAAAAAAACACCCUGACUUGCAGCAAAUUUUCUGAGAAUGACGUGUCACCCUUCCAGAAGGACCUCCAAGUCUGCCUUCUGUAUCAAGCCCUGGAAAUCUUUCAAUCCAGCAUUUCAGCAAGAAAUAGACCACAGGGCAACGGUGUAAGAGGAUGCUGACCGCCAGGCUUUGACUGAGAACUAAUGGGGGACAGGACCUCUCACUCUGGCCUGGACCUCUUCCAGCCUUGGUUUGCUUUGAGUGUUGGUGGCCUCUGCAAAGAUUUUAAACCCCACCAUUCACAUCUCUGAAUCUCCCACAACAUCAAGCAGAGCAGCAGUACGAAGUACACACUCGUAAAUAAUUGAAAAGAAUCCCUAGAAAGCUUGAACUCAUU